rnacentral:rRNA from 1 species
UACGUAGGGUGCGAGCGUUAAUCGGAAUUACUGGGCGUAAAGCGUGCGCAGGCGGUUGUGCAAGACCGAUGUGAAAUCCCCGGGCUCAACCUGGGAACUGCAUUUGUGACUGUAUAGCUAGAGUACGGUAGAGGGGGAUGGAAUUCCGCGUGUAGCAGUGAAAUGCGUAGAUAUGCGGAGGAACACCGAUGGCGAAGGCAAUCCCCUGGACCUGUACUGACGCUCAUGCACGAAAGCGUGGGGAGCAAACAGG